UACGUAGGGGGCAAGCGUUGUCCGGAUUUAUUGGGCGUAAAGAGCGUGUAGGCGGUCAGGUAGGUCGGUUGUGAAAACUGGAGGCUCAACCUUCAGAGGUCGACCGAAACCCCCUGGCUAGAGUCCGGGAGAGGAGAGUGGAAUUCCUGGUGUAGCGGUGAAAUGCGCAGAUAUCAGGAAGAACACCCGUGGCGAAAGCGGCUCUCUGGAACGGUACUGACGCUGAGACGCGAAAGCGUGGGUAGCAAACGGG
rnacentral:rRNA from 1 species